GCCCGCUUGGCUAAGUGGUAUAGCGUGUCACUAGUAAUUACUAGAUGUCAUGACAAGAUCAGCGGUUCGAUUCCGCUAGUGGGCA
rnacentral:tRNA from 1 species